CAGAAUUUGAAAAUGAUUAUGAAAUCUGUUUUGAAGUAUUAUAAUUGAAAAAUCUCUUUUAAUAAAUUUAAAUGAGGAUGUAAAAGUAUAAAAAUACUUUAAAUUCCGUAAAACGUAUUGAUAUCUAUUUUUUCUAAAUAUAUGAAAUUAAAUAUGUAAAAUCUAUCCUGUGCAUAUUUCGUAUUUUAUAAUAAAAUAUUGUACUUUUUUUAUUUAAAUUGUUGCUAUAUACGCAUCCACCACAGAGCGAAAACGUGCGCUUUUAGUCUAGUGCGCUCUACAGAUAGAAUUCAUUCAUACCACAUGUGAGCAUAUCAUGUUUGUGAGACCAUGAUAUUAUAGUGUACCUCAUCACAAGAUUAUCAAAAUUACAAGAUUUGUGAUAUAUAUGUACGAAACUAAAUUUUGGGCAAUUUUAUUUACAUUAGGUACGUCUCAGCACUUUUAUAAAACUUUCUUCCUUAUUUACUAAAUAAGACUGGAACCCAAAACUAACAAAAAAAUGAAGAACAGAAAUUUUUGCUCCACAUCAGAAGUCAUUCCAAUGAAACACAUAAGAAACAAUAACUUCAAUCCCUACAUCAACUAUACUUUACUACUUUAAUAUAUCAAAUAUAUAAUGUGUAUAAUGUAUACAACAAAAAUUUGGAAGUAACCAAGUUAGCCACAACUGCACAUUUGCAUAUAAGUAUAAAACUCCGAGACUAAGUGAAUAAUAAGUCAUAUUCAUAUAUACAUAUGAUAAAUUCAUGAUCUAUCCCUACCAUGAAAUUUUGAUAUUUUUAUGGUAUAUAAACAUCUGCAAGACGUCACGAAACGUGUCAUCAUAUAAUUUCGCAUCGCGUUCGUUAAGUGCGUACUUUCAUCAACUGUUGACUCUAUAGAAUCCGCGAAUUGCAACUCCCUAUCUUGACGUACGUUUCACCCACCCAGAGCCUUGAUUUUUUGAUGGAGAACCAUAUCAAGUCCCGACUGUUGGAUGGUUCCCUGCCAGUGAUCCUUAUACCUGUGAGUAGAAGAACCUGCAAAAUGACAUCGCAUGGCAAGUCCUACAGAAUUGGCCCGAGCGCCGAUCCUUAGUGUAUCCCGUAGGACACUUCCCUCCGAUGCAAUGCGCCAUUCCGGCCCAGAUAUUCUAUUCCCGAAGAUAGACCCCGAUAACCCGUCUAAGAUAUAUGUCAAAUAAUUUUUAUUUAUGUAUUCACACUCGGCUUGAUGCCCUAUUAGGCUCGGCAUCCAUGGGGUGAGGACAGAAACGCCGUCAACGCUAUCUUAACCUACGCAUCAUCGGUAAGUGCAGGAUGAACAAGAUUCUCCGACUUAUCCGACGGGUGUCUAAUUGUACCUAAUUAAUAAAUCAAAGCUUACCAUAGGUAUAUAGUCAUAUAUUAUACCACAUACGCACAAUACCAUUCGCUAUUCAUUUCACGUUUCACGAAUAUGAACGUUUUUUAUUUUUAUAGAAAUGAUCUACUCUUCUACACAAAUACACAUAUUUAUAAAACUACUUUAUAUAUUAUAUUGAAGUAAAUUUAUUACAUAUUACAUACAUCUCAAAUUUAAAUUACUUGACAACAAUGCAUUAUUUAUCAUUCCAUUAAUCAUUUAUACAUUCUUACUAUAGAUAACUUUUAUUUAAAUACUACUUGAUCAUAAUUUCGGAUUGGGUUUAAA